rnacentral:rRNA from 1 species
AAAAACAUGUCUGUAUGAAAGAUAUAUAAAGUCUAGCCUGCCCAUUGGAAUCUAAAAGGCCGCGGUAUUAUGACCGUGCUAAGGUAGCAUAAUCAUUAGUCUUUUAAUUGAAGGCUGGAAUGAACGGUUGGACAAGAAAUAAACUGUCUCAAAUAAAAAUAUUGAAUUUAACUUUUAAGUGAAAAGGCUUAAAUUUUCUAAAGGGACGAUAAGACCCUAUAAAACUUUAUAUUUAGAAAUAAUAGUUAAUUUUAUAUAGGAAAUUUGUUUUUAAAUAUUUUAUUGGGGUGAUAAGGAUAAAAUAUAAGACAACUGUCUUUUUUUUUUUACAAUAAUGUUUGAGUUAACGAUCUUAAAAAAGAAAUAAGAGAUUAAGUUACUUUAGGGAUAACAGCGUAAUUUUCUUUAAGAGUUCUUAUCGACAAGAAAGUUUGCGACCUCGAUGUUGAAUUAAAAAUUCUUUAUAAAGUAGUGAUUAUAAUAG